GGUAAAAUAACCAUUUUCAGCCCAUUUCGGGCAUUACCGCACCUUAUGCCGAGGUGCCCACCGAUUCCCCCCUUCCAUCCAUCCCUAUCCCUCACGCGCACAGUGCGAGGUUGCGGCACCUAGGGUUGACCGCCUGCCCUCCUCCACGUCGGCGGCUCACCGCCGUCGGCCUACCUCGUCGGAGCCUACUCCCUCCGGCCCUUCCCCGGAACGCUGGCACCCACUUACCUCACCAUCGAGCCAGUCGCCACCAACGUCCCCGUCCUCGGCUGCCCUCCACCACCUCGCCAGCGUCCACCCUGCAAUCCCUCGUCUCGUCGGAGUCGCGCCGCUCCUCCCCGACCAUAGUCGCCAGCCCACUCCACCGGAUCUCGUGCUGUCACCGGCUAACGCCACCGCCUAGCCCCGCCGGUCCAAGGAGAGCCCCAGCCUCCUAGCUCUCUUUGUUGCUCCACUGCUCCCUCAUUUUCUCUGUUGCUCCGCUGUUUCUCCAUGCUCUCUGCUAAUUGAUGGGAAUAUGAGAUAUAUGCUAAUUAGUGGUGUAUGAGAUGGACGGAAAUACUUUCUAUGUAUGCUUGUAUCGGUGGGUGGGAUGACCGUAAUUCGGUAGGGAUGUAUGGAUGGGAGCAGUAGCAUGUAUGGAUGUUCAGAGCAUGUAUUCGGUAGGGUACUGUAAUUUGUCAUCUCCAUAUUCAUGGAAAAUAUGGUUCUGUGAUGAUGUAUCAUAGGUGUAGAUCCCCUUGUAAUUUUGCAAAUCUAUGUUGUCGGACGCAUCAUAGUUACUCCCUGCGUUUCUUAAAUUAGGACGUAUAUUGUUUUUUUGACCGAGCCUUUGACCA
rnacentral:lncRNA from 1 species